rnacentral:misc_RNA from 1 species
UCCUUUAGCAUGGACAUUCUUGAAGGGAAAGGGAAAUGAGUAGUGAGACUUACCAAGUAACCCUUUGAAAUACAAUAUGGUCUAAGAAAGCAUUCAAAAUGAGAUUGACCAAUAGGGUUGUGAGGAGCAGUUUCUUUGAAUACAGAAUUUUCGGAAGGCUCUUCAACAGUGCUGGGGUUUGUUAGGUGAUGAAUUUUCCAGACUGGUUGUUUUCCAUUAGUAACAACCUCAAACAUUAUUUGAUCUCCCACCUUUAUG